UGGGGAAUAUUGCACAAUGGGCGCAAGCCUGAUGCAGCCAUGCCGCGUGUAUGAAGAAGGACUUCGGGUUGUAAAGUACUUUCAGCGGGGAGGAAGGGAGUAAAGUUAAUACCUUUGCUCAUUGACGUUACCCGCAGAAGAAGCACCGGCUAACUCCGUGCCAGCAGCCGCGGUAAUACGGAGGGUGCAAGCGUUAAUCGGAAUUACUGGGCGUAAAGCGCACGCAGGCGGUUUGUUAAGUCAGAUGUGAAAUCCCCGGGCUCAACCUGGGAACUGCAUCUGAUACUGGCAAGCUUGAGUCUCGUAGAGGGGGGUAGAAUGCCAGGUGUAGCGGUGAAAUGCGUAGAGAUCUGGAGGAAUACCGGUGGCGAAGGCGGCCCCCUGGACGAAGACUGACGCUCAGGUGCGAAAGCGUGGGGAGCAAACAGG
rnacentral:rRNA from 1 species